rnacentral:rRNA from 1 species
UACGGAGGGAGCUAGCGUUGUUCGGAAUUACUGGGCGUAAAGGGCGCGUAGGCGGCCUUCUAAGUCGAACGUGAAAUCCCCGGGCUCAACCCGGGAACUGCGUCCGAUACUGGAAGGCUUGAAUCCGGGAGAGGGAUGUGGAAUUCCAGGUGUAGCGGUGAAAUGCGUAGAUAUCUGGAGGAACACCGGUGGCGAAGGCGACAUCCUGGACCGGUAUUGACGCUGAGGCGCGAAAGCCAGGGGAGCAAAGCGGG